rnacentral:rRNA from 1 species
CAGUAGCCACGGGAAUACGAAGGGGGCUAGCGUUGUUCGGAAUUACUGGGCGUAAAGCGCACGUAGGCGGAUAUUUAAGUCAGUGGUGAAAUCCCAGAGCUCAACUCUGGAACUGCCUUUGAUACUGGGUAUCUUGAGUAUGGAAGAGGUGAGUGGAAUUCCGAGUGUAGAGGUGAAAUUCGUAGAUAUUCGGAGGAACACCAGUGGCGAAGGCGGCUCACUGGUCCAUUACUGACGCUGAGGUGCGAAAGCGUGGGGAGCAAACAGGAUUAGAUACCCCAGUAGUCCCUGUCUCUUAUAC